rnacentral:tmRNA from 2 species
GGGGCUGAAGUGGAAUUCGACAGGAAGUAUAGAAUCUAAGUGCAUGUGAGCCGGUAAGCUCUCAAACUGCCAACAGCAAUAAACGCAAACAAUACAAAUUACGCUCCAGCUUACGCAAAAGUAGCGUGAGUCUAAUUCCUUUUGGGAGCCGACACUCUAGGGGUUCUAGCCUCUUAGAUUCUGUCGUCAUAAUGCUAGAUGCUUGCUAGGCAAUGUCUUGGGUCUAGCAAAAAGACAAAGAGACUGCUUGUCUUGAGGAGUUUGGGGGUUUUCUCACAGGACAAAAAGACAAAAAUCCUAUCUAAACAUGUAGAAGCUUAGUGGAAGUGCUUUUUGGACUGGGGUUCGAUCCCCCACAGCUCCACCA